AUUGAACGCUGGCGGAAUGCUUUACACAUGCAAGUCGAACGGCAGCACGGACUUCGGUCUGGUGGCGAGUGGCGAACGGGUGAGUAAUGUAUCGGAACGUGCCCAGUCGUGGGGGAUAACGUAGUGAAAAUUACGCUAAUACCGCAUACGAUCUAUGGAUGAAAGCGGGGGAUCGCAAGACCUCGCGCGAUUGGAGCGGCCGAUAUCAGAUUAGGUAGUUGGUGGGGUAAAGGCCCACCAAGCCAACGAUCUGUAGCUGGUCUGAGAGGACGACCAGCCACACUGGAACUGAGACACGGUCCAGGCACCUACGGGAGGCGGCAGUGGGGAAUUUUGGACAAUGGGCGAAAGCCUGAUCCAGCCAUUCCGCGUGCAGGAUGAAGGCCCUCGGGUUGUAAACUGCUUUUGUACAGAACGAAAAGGUUUCUACUAAUACUAGGAGCUCAUGACGGUACUGUAAGAAUAAGCACCGGCUAACUACGUGCCAGCCGCCGCCGUAA
rnacentral:rRNA from 1 species